rnacentral:rRNA from 1 species
AACACUCUGGGUAACCUACCCAUCAUAGGGGGAUAACACUUGGAAACAGGCGCUAAUACCGCAUAACAGUUUAUGCCGCAUGGCAUAAGACUGAAAGGCGCUUUCGGGUGUCGCUGAUGGAUGGACCCGCGGGGCAUUAGCUAUCUUGGUGAGGUAACGGCUCACCAAGGCCACAAUGCAUAGCCGACCUGAUAGGGUGAUCGGCCACACUGGGACUGAGACACGGGCCACACUCCUACGGGAGGCAGCAGGAGGGAAUCUUCGGCAAUGGACUAAAGUCUGACCGAGCAACGCCGCGUGAGUGAAGAAGGUUUUCGGAUCGUAAAACUCUGUUGUUAUAGAAAAACAAGGACGUUAGUAACUGAUCGUCCCCUGACGGCAUCUAACCACAAAGCCACGGCUAACUACAUGCCAGCAGCCGCGGUAAUACGUAGGAGGCAAGCGUUGUCCGGAUUUAUUGGGCGUAGAGCUAGCGCAGGCGGUUUCUUAAGUCUGAUGUGAAAGCCCCCGGCUC